GAUGAACGCUGGCGGCGUGCCUAAUACAUGCAAGUCUAGCGAACAGACGAGGAGCUUGCUCCUCUGACGUUAGCGGCGGACGGGUGAGUAACACGUGGAUAACCUACCUAUAAGACUGGGAUAACUUCGGGAAACCGGAGCUAAUACCGGAUAAUAUAUUGAACCGCAUGGUUCAAUAGUGAAAGACGGUUUUGCUGUCACUUAUAGAUGGAUCCGCGCCGCAUUAGCUAGUUGGUAAGGUAACGGCUUACCAAGGCAACGAUGCGUAGCCGACCUGAGAGGGUGAUCGGCCACACUGGAACUGAGACACGGUCCAGACUCCUACGGGAGGCAGCAGUAGGGAAUCUUCCGCAAUGGGCGAAAGCUUGACGGAGCAACGCCGCGUGAGUGAUGAAGGUCUUCGGAUCGUAAAACUCUGUUAUUAGGGAAGAACAAAUGUGUAAGUAACUAUGCACGUCUUGACGGUACCUAAUCAGAAAGCCACGGCUAACUACGUG
rnacentral:rRNA from 1 species